rnacentral:rRNA from 1 species
GACGAACGCUGGCGGCGUGCCUAAUACAUGCAAGUCGAGCGGACGAAUCGAAAGCUUGCUUUUGAUUCGUUAGCGGCGGACGGGUGGGUAACACGUGGGCAACCUGUCCUGUAGACGGGGAUAACACCGAGAAAUCGGUGCUAAUACCGGAUAACACGAAAUGUCGCAUGACGUUUCGUUGAAAGACGGCGCAAGCUGUCGCUACAGGAUGGGCCCGCGGCGCAUUAGCUAGUUGGUGAGGUAACGGCUCACCAAGGCGACGAUGCGUAGCCGACCUGAGAGGGUGACCGGCCACACUGGGACUGAGACACGGCCCAGACUCCUACGGGAGGCAGCAGUAAGGAAUCUUCCGCAAUGGACGAAAGUCUGACGGAGCAACGCCGCGUGAGCGAAGAAGGCCUUCGGGUCGUAAAGCUCUGUUGUUAGGGAAGAACAAGUAACGCAGCAACUGGCGUUACCGUGACGGUACCUAACGAGAAAGCCACGGCUAACUACGUG